UGUGAAAUAUAAAAAGGUGGUGCAGUAUUCUAGUCAGGUAAGUGCUUUUUGAGGACGGGGCUAAAAAUCCGUCAAAGGGCAUAUCGAUGAAGUUCCUUGUGCUGGCUUAUGACGCCCAGUUAUGGGUUGGUGCUGGGAGUAAGGAGGAUGGGGCGGCCGCAACGGCAUGCGCAACUGACCCUACCACCGUGGAGACCAUUGCUUGUACAUGUGGCGAGAUGCCUAGUGUACGUCAAUGGAUUAAACCUGUAAUGUGGUGUAAAAGCUAUGUGCAGUGUAGCCUGCCUUGAGUGGAUUUAGGUGGAGGUAAGUUUAAAUCUGAAGUUUUGGCCAAAAACUUCAGGCUAUUGCUUAAAGAAACCUAUUCUGCAAAAGAGGCUAGAAAAGUACCUAACUGUUGAGGAAAUCUCCUAGACUGUUUUGUAUAAAAGUAUAUUAGGGAUUACAGUGCGGACUAAGUGGCGAUCUAGUUCUAUUUAUGGCGACAAUGUAGAUAGAGUAUUAAAGGGAAACCGUCCAAAUGGCGACAUUUAGAUUGCUCUAUGGGAAAUCCUACUAGACCUAAGCCGCAAAGUUUACUUAGUAUACUACCACCACUACAUAUUUUAGA
rnacentral:sRNA from 1 species